CCUACGGGACGCAGCAGUGGGGAAUAUUGGGCAAUGGAGGAAACUCUUACCCAGCAAUGCCGCGUGAAUAAAGAAGGUCUUCGGAUUGUAAGGUUCUUUAAUUGGGGACGAAAAAAAUGACGGUACCCAAGGAAUAAGCCCCGGCUAACUACGUGCCAGCAGCCGCGGUAAUACGUAGGGGGCAAGCGUUGUUCGGAAUGACUGGGCGUAAAGGGAGCGUAGGCGGGACUGCAAGUUGGGUGUCAAAUCUACCGGCUCAACCGGUAGCC
rnacentral:rRNA from 1 species